rnacentral:rRNA from 1 species
UACGUAGGGUGCAAGCGUUGUCCGGAAUUAUUGGGCGUAAAGAGUUCGUAGGCGGUUUGUCGCGUCCGUUGUGAAAGCUUGGGGCUCAACCCCAAGUCUGCAGUGGAUACGGGCAGACUAGAGUCAGGUAGGGGAGAACGGAAUUCCUGGUGCAGCGGUGAAAUGCGCAGAUAUCGAGAGGAACGCCGGUGGCGAAGGCGACUUACUGGACCGUUUCUGACACUGAGGCGCGAAAGCUAGGGGAGCAAACAGG